AGGUGUAAUGUCACGCAUCAGACCU
rnacentral:rRNA from 1 species